rnacentral:rRNA from 1 species
CCUACGGGUGGCAGCAGUGGGGAAUAUUGCACAAUGGCGGAAACCCUGAUGCAGCGACGCCGCGUGAGUGAAGAAGUAAUUCGUUACGUAAAGCUCCAUCAGCAGGGAAGUAAAUGACGGUACCUGAGUAAGUUGCCAUGGACAACUACGUGCCGGAAGCCGCGGGAAUACGGAGGGAGCAAGGGUUAUCCGGAUUUAGUGGGUGUAAAGGGAGCGUAGACGGUGUUCCAAGUCUGGAGUGAAAUGUCGCAGCUUAACUGCGGAACUGCUUUGGAAACUGGAGAACUAGAGUGCGGGAGAGGUAGGCGGAAUGCCUAGUGUAGCGGUGAAAUGCGUAGAUAUUAGGAGGAACACCGAUGGCGAAGGCAGCUUACUGGGCCGUAACUGACAUUGAGGCUCGAAAGCGUGGGGAGCAAACAGGAUUAGAUACCCCUGUAGUC